rnacentral:lncRNA from 9 species
CCAGGAAUUCCCAAAGGUGGCAGCUAACCCAGCCAGUCUCCUGCCAGGCUCCAAGAAGUCAUCUGGGGAAAGAUGAGGCAGAGGUGUUGCAUCCAGGGUCCCCUGUCUCCCCACCCCUCCUGCAGCAGCAGCCAAGCUUCACCCCACUCACCCUCAGGCUGGCCAUUGUAGACCCCACAGAGGCCUUGAGUCUGUCCCUGGAGCUCAUGGUCCACGGAAAUGGAGACGGAACUGGACCCGUCCAGCCGCACAACGACCCCCAGUCCCCCUGACAGCACCAGCCAGUCCCCUUGCCACUGCAGGCUCAGCCCUGGGCGGGAGAAGCGGGCGGUCACAAUCCCUUCCCCUUCCACGCCCGGGAAAGGACAUCCCGCUAUUCCAGAGAGCUCUGCAUCUACAUCCUGUAAAGCAGAAGCCGUUGUUCUCCCAUCAGAGACCUCUGAGAAGUUCAUGAACGCCAUGGAUGCUCUCUUGAGAGUAAACUGGAAGGAAACUACAAGACACAGCAUGCCCACACAUGCAUGCAUGCCCACACGGAUGGAAACCCCACCCUACCUCACUCUGUGGACCCCAAGCAAGACAAAACUCUGAUGCUGCCUCCCAACAGCAGUGGGAGGAGGGGAGGCUGCAGGCACCCACCCAACUGUCCCCUGGGGAUAGGCAGGCUGUCUCAGAGGAGCGAAUGGAGCUCUUACCUGGGAGCAGCUGAGACUCCCCAUCAGGUAACAGCUGCCCAUUUACAGAGACGUUUCUGCCCCGGACCAGCACCUCCUCUGGUCCCAUCAUCACCCGGGCCUGCUCCAGAUGCGGAGUAGAAGAGGUUGUCAGUGGCUCUCCUCCUCCUGCAUCAGCUCCCUCCCUGCGUCCGUCCCCAUCUCCCUCCUCACCAGCUGGCAGUGCCCAGGCUGGGGGCAGUGCCCCCUGGGCUCGAGGUGGACAGCCCAAGUGGAAUCUGCAGCGCCCGCCAACAGGUAGGUGCAGCGGCCCAGGAAGUGGUAGUGGCGUCUGUCAAAGGUGCGAUAGUGGAAGCCUGACCAGGUGGCGCAGGUGGCUGAGGGACGCUG